GUCGCGGUGGCAGAGUGGUCUAAGGCGCCAGACUAAAGUUUUCGAUUCUCACCCCGGGGGUUUCUGGUCUCCAAAUAGAGGCGUGGGUUCAAAUCCCACUUCUGACA
rnacentral:tRNA from 1 species